GACGAACGCUGGCGGCGUGCUUAACACAUGCAAGUCGAACGGAAAGGCCCUGCUUGCAGGGUACUCGAGUGGCGAACGGGUGAGUAACACGUGGGUGAUCUGCCCUGCACUUCGGGAUAAGCCUGGGAAACUGGGUCUAAUACCGGAUAGGAGCCAUUUUUAGCGUGAUGGUUGGAAAGUUUUUUCGGUGUAGGAUGAGCUCGCGGCCUAUCAGCUUGUUGGUGGGGUAAUGGCCUACCAAGGCGGCGACGGGUAGCCGGCCUGCGAGGGUGGACGGCCACAUUGGGACUGAGAGACGGCCCAGACUCCUACGGGAGGCAGCAGUGGGGAAUAUUGCACAAUGGGCGCAAGCCUGAUGCAGCGACGCCGCGUGGGGGAUGACGGCCUUCGGGUUGUAAACUCCUUUCGCUAGGGACGAAGCUUUUUGUGACGGUACCUAGAUAAGAAGCACCGGCUAACUACGUG
rnacentral:rRNA from 1 species